ACAAUAUCCAAUUUUGAACAAUAGAUGGUUAGAAGAAACAUGUUGAUCUCACCAUAAAAUAUAUAACAACAAGGCAUGUAUUCAGCUUUAAAAUAAUGAAUCUAAAGGUAAAAAUUUUAUCCUAUGCACAACCAAGAUCAAAAAAACAUUCAAUGUACAAACAAGCAAGUGUUGCAUCCUCCUAUUGAAGUAUGAUGACAAAACUUGAACAAAAAUGCG
rnacentral:misc_RNA from 1 species